UACGUAGGGACCAAGCGUUGUUCGGAUUUACUGGGCGUAAAGGGCGCGUAGGCGGCAAUUCAAGUCAUCUGUGAAAUCUCCGGGCUUAACUCGGAACGGUCAGAUGAUACUGCUUUGCUAGAGUGCGGAAGGGGCAAUCGGAAUUCUCGGUGUAGCGGUGAAAUGUGUAGAGAUCGGGAGGAACACCGGUGGCGAAGGCGGGCCUCUGGGCAUCUCCUGACGCUGAGGCGCGAAAGCGUGGGGAGCAAACGGG
rnacentral:rRNA from 1 species